rfam:Populus trichocarpa scaffold_7_contig_145, whole genome shotgun sequence.
UCUAUAACUUGAGAUAUGGGCUGAACACUGAACAGUGUCUGGGCUGUAGGACAGAUUCAGACUUCUCCGUUGUUGCUACAAUUUGGACUUGAAAAUGGCCUUUUUAAAUGUUGGACUCCUCUUGCAAGUUUUAGGCCUAUCUUUUAGCUUUCCAUC